CCUUUCUCUACUCGCUUGUUCCUUUCUAGAUCUUGUACAUCUAACCUCAUCGGUUUAAACAAGAUCCAGUCACUUCUAACUGCUGUUCCGCUCUCUCAAGAGAUCAUACCUAAACGAUCAAGACAGGAUACAGUCUGGGAGACUAUGAAGUAGCGGAUUGACAUUUUCUCAUUUAACUUUCUACACUGGCCAAACAAUUUCCUGCAGGACCAGGUCUUCCAGCAAGCCAGGCCAGCUCCUCUCUGAACAAUGGCUCAGCCUAAGCUUUGGGAAUCCUGGCUGCCAUCUAGUCCAGCCUCUACCUAAGAAGAAACGCAGCCAUUCCCCAUCUGAAGAAAGAUCACCUAGCCUCUGUUGGAAGUCUUGAGAUCCCAGAUCCACUGACUCUUAGAGACCGUCCAGCCCAGCUCCCUCAUUUUACAAAUGAGGAAACUAAGACCGCAAAAGGAAAAUGCUUUAGCCAAGCGCGCACAGACAACAAGGGCGAGAAGUAGCCUCUAUUUCACCAGCCAGUACUCUUUCCACCAUGCUAAGGGGCCUUGAGGAAGCCAAUCCCACCUGGGUGUGCUGGCUAAAGAACGUUCUGCCCUCUGGGGCCAAGCAGAACAAGGCUGAGCCCACUUCCACAGAACACACAGCGAUCACACAGUCCCUGUAACUUCUCUAGGGCAAACCACCCUGGUUUCU
rnacentral:lncRNA from 1 species